AUUCGAUUCACGGAGAGGAGCGAAGCGACGAGGCGUCUCUUCGUCUGUUCCUGUGUGGCACUGGUGGCCCUCGCCACGGCAGAUCCUUUUCAAGAUUCAGGAGGGUAGGAGCAGGCGAGCAGCCGAGCACGAAGGCAUACGGCAGGAACGACCGAACAACAGCCGGCAGGGAGGAAAGUCCUGGCCAAUCUCCCGAUCUCCGAGUUUUUAAGCGUCGUCUCGUCAAUAACUAGUGAUCUUGGUUUUUUGUUUUCAGUUGCUGUUCUUUGGGAGUCAUGAGGAUCUUCCUAUAUUCAAGUUUGAGAACCUGACAAGCUUUUCUCUGGAUGGGUGCCGUAUCAACGACGACUUCCUCGGGCUGCGCAAAUACCUGUACAACUCGCCUAACCUGCAGAAGCUCACUUUGCGACAUUGCAAGGUCUCGGAUUUCCAAUCUACAAAGGAGGUGAUGAAAUGCCGCCAAUCAUAUUCCAAGGGCAUGGCGCGUUUCAAGUGCAACAACCUUAGGCUUACUGAAACCAUACACCGAGAUGGUGAUGCUUCUGUCGAUCCGUUUGUCAAGUUUUUCAGGGGCGUGCGGAGGAAUCUGCCAAACAACAAGAUCAAACUCAUUCCGCUCAAGAAGAAGAAAUAAAAGACUGAACUCGCUAUAGUCGAUUAGCGGAAGCGUAUGGCAAUACACUAGGUUUCCUAUCAUUUGCUGAUUUCAGGAAACUAGGUUGCACAUGUGUCAUCAUUUUUACCUUUUUAAUAAAUUCAUCAUGAGUCCUUGGCUUUAAUUGUGUCGGAUGGUUGAGAUCGUUUGGAUUUCAGCAACUCGUAACUUUUAUACUAGUGUAGACUAGGUUCUUGGUUGAAGUGGAAGUGUCACGAUCCCCUCGUCUAUAUAUAUGGAUUUAUUUUUCAUUUGGGAUGGCA